rnacentral:rRNA from 1 species
UACGUAGGGUGCAAGCGUUGUCCGGAAUCAUUGGGCGUAAAGCGCGCGUAGGCGGCCCGAUAAGUCCGCUGUAAAAGUCAACGGCUCAACUGUUGAAAGCCGGUGGAUACUGUCGGGCUAGAGUACGGAAGAGGCAAGUGGAAUUCCUGGUGUAGCGGUGAAAUGCGCAGAUAUCAGGAAGAACACCCGUGGCGAAGGCGGCUCUCUGGGACGGUACUGACGCUGAGACGCGAAAGCGUGGGGAGCGAACAGG